rnacentral:rRNA from 1 species
AGAGUUUGAUCAUGGCUCAGGAUGAACGCUGGCGGCGUGCCUAAUACAUGCAAGUCGAGCGGUAAGGCCCUUCGGGGUACACGAGCGGCGGACGGCUGAGUAACGCGUAGGAACGUACCCCAAACUGAGGGAUAAGCCCGGGAAACCGGGUCUAAUACCGCAUAUGCUCUUCGGAGUAAAGCUACGGCGGUUUGGGAACGGCCUGCGUAAGAUUAGCUUGUUGGUGAGGUAAUGGCUCACCAAGGCGACGAUCUUUAGCUGGUCUGAGAGGAUGAUCAGCCAGACUGGGACUGAGAACGGCCCAGACUCCUACGGGAGGCAGCAGUAGGGAAUUUUCCACAAUGGGGGCAACCCUGAUGGAGCAACGCCGCGUGCAGGAUGAAGGCCUUCGGGUUGUAAACUGCUUUUCUCUGUGACGAUUUUGACGGUAGCAGAGGAAUAAGGGACUGCUAACUACGUGCCAGCAGCCGCGGUAAUAC